AGCAGCCGCGGUAAUUCCAGCUCCAAUAGCGUAUAUUAAAGUUGUUGCAGUUAAAAAGCUCGUAGUUGAAUUUCGGGGUCAGUAGGUUGGUCGUGCCACCGGUACGUACUGGUCUCACUGAUUCCUCCUUCCUGAUGAGCUGUAAUGCCAUUAAUUUGGUGUUGCAGGGGAAUCUGGACUGUUACUUUAGAAAAAUUAGAGUGUUUAAAGCAGGCUAACGCUUGAAUACAUUAGCAUGGAAUAAUGAAAUAGGACGUUCGAUCCUAUUUUGUUGGUUUCUAGGAUUGACGUAAUGAUUAAUAGGGAUAGUUGGGGGCAUUAGUAUUCAAUUGUCAGAGGUGAAAUUCUUGGAUUUAUUGAAGACUAACUACUGCGAAAGCAUUUGCCAAGGAUGUUUUCAUUAAUCAAGAACGAAAGUUAGGGGAUCGAAGACGAUCAGAUACCGUCGUAGUCUUAACCAUAAACUAUGCCGACUAGGGAUCGGAUGAUGUUAAUUUUUAAUGUACUCA
rnacentral:rRNA from 1 species